rnacentral:rRNA from 1 species
CGUAGGGUGCGAGCGUUAAUCGGAAUUACUGGGCGUAAAGCGUGCGCAGGCGGUUUUGUAAGCCAGAUGUGAAAUCCCCGGGCUUAACCUGGGAAUGGCAUUUGGGACUGCAAGGCUGGAGUGCGGCAGAGGAGACUGGAAUUCCUGGUGUAGCAGUGAAAUGCGUAGAUAUCAGGAGGAACACCGAUGGCGAAGGCAGGUCUCUGGGCUGACACUGACGCUCAUGCACGAAAGCGUGGGGAGCAAACAGGAUUAGAUACCCUGGUAGUCCACGCCCUAAACGGUGUCGACUGGUUGGUUGGGGGUUUGACACUCUCAGUAACGAAGCUAACGCGUGAAGUCGACCGCCGUGGGGAGUACGGCCGCAAGGUUA